AAGCGCCUAUAACGGUAGGAGACCAGUUACGCGUAGCUACGCAGAAACGUCCGAGUGGGAGAGCGAGACUGCUACAUGUACAAGAGAGUACAAAAUAUAAGUACACUUGGUCCGGACGAACGGAAGAGUUUCAGCAUACGAAAAGAGCUAGACGUUUCGUGUUCGCCCAAUGGAAUAAUACGGGUGUUUUGGUUGCCGACUAAUUAACGGUCUUCUCGUACGUCUUUCCCUUUUCCGCCAUUCAAGCCGUCGUUGCGCGACAUAAUUCCGGCAAUUGCGCCAAUUAUUAUGGGGUCAAGUGGCGGUGCGCGUGUACGGUGUGCGUGGCACGCGAAGAAUAAGGAGCACCGAAUGUGGAGCGAAAGGUACUGUUUUGCCAUACGCGGCAGUAAACGACGAUGAAUCGUGUAAUCGCUGCAAACUACAGAACCGGUUGCGAUCCUUAAAGAUUCAACGAAGUCCAAGGAUAGUUUCGACGAGUUGAGCUAAUUAAAGUCUAAAGGUCCACAGCUUAGGGAGCUCAAGUGAUUCGAACCUCCGUUAUGUAUCGAUUCGAAUCUCCAGUUAAUUUUCAUUCCGACCUAUACCGCACUAUUAUUAUUAACUAUUAUUUUUGAAACGUUGGAGGAGAGCCUAAGCGAAAUUGAAGUAAUUUGAGAAGACCAUAACGGAUGUAGGAGUCUUCACUGCCGUUUCGUCGUGGAAAUUGAACCUUG